UGGGGAAUUUUGGACAAUGGGCGAAAGCCUGAUCCAGCAAUGCCGCGUGUGUGAAGAAGGCCUUCGGGUUGUAAAGCACUUUUGUCCGGAAAGAAAUCCUUGGCUCUAAUACAGUCGGGGGAUGACGGUACCGGAAGAAUAAGCACCGGCUAACUACGUGCCAGCAGCCGCGGUAAUACGUAGGGUGCAAGCGUUAAUCGGAAUUACUGGGCGUAAAGCGUGCGCAGGCGGUUUGCUAAGACCGAUGUGAAAUCCCCGGGCUCAACCUGGGAACUGCAUUGGUGACUGGCAGGCUAGAGUAUGGCAGAGGGGGGUAGAAUUCCACGUGUAGCAGUGAAAUGCGUAGAGAUGUGGAGGAAUACCGAUGGCGAAGGCAGCCCCCUGGGCCAAUACUGACGCUCAUGCACGAAAGCGUGGGGAGCAAACAGGAUUAGAUACCCUGGUAGUCCACGCCCUAAACGAUGUCAACUAGUUGUUGGGGAUUCAUUCCUUAGUAACGUAGCUAACGCGUGAAGUUGACCGCCUGGGGAGUACGGUCGCAAGAUUAAAACUUAAAUGAAUUGACGGGGUCAUAGCUGUUUCCU
rnacentral:rRNA from 1 species